UGGGGAAUAUUGCACAAUGGAGGGAACUCUGAUGCAGCGACGCCGCGUGAACGAAGAAGGCUUUCGAGUCGUAAAGUUCUUUUAUAUGGGAAGAUAAUGAUGGUACCAUAAGAAAAAGCCCCGGCUAACUACGUGCCAGCAGCCGCGGUAAUACGUAGGGGGCUAGCGUUGUCCGGAAUCACUGGGCGUAAAGGGUUCGCAGGCGGAAAUGCAAGUCAGGUGUAAAAGGCAGUAGCUUAACUACUGUAAGCAUUUGAAACUGCAUAUCUUGAGAAGAGUAGAGGUAAGUGGAAUUUUUAGUGUAGCGGUGAAAUGCGUAGAUAUUAAAAAGAAUACCGGUGGCGAAGGCGACUUACUGGGCUCAUCCUGACGCUGAGGAACGAAAGCGUGGGUAGCAAACAGG
rnacentral:rRNA from 1 species